rnacentral:rRNA from 1 species
AAUCAUGUCUGAGUGAAUUAGUUAUAUAGUCUAGCCUGCGCACUGAUAUAUAAUUUGCGCCGCGGUAAUAUGACCGUCGCAAGGUAGCAUAGUCAGUAGUCUAUUAAUUGGAGGCUUGAAUCAAUCCUUGGAGCACCGAUAAAGUGUCUGCUUUGCGGCGUAUGUAUAUAACUAUUGAGUGAUUAGGCUCUAAUUGUAUAGCCGGUCGAUAAGACGCUAUAUUAGAUAAUAUUAUAUAGGCUUAACUUGGCUAGUGCGUGAAAAGUAGUUUUGUCUCGUUUAUAUUUCGUUCCGGAGAUGAAGAUAAUAUGAGUAACUGUCUAUAUAAUUAUAUUGCAAUGACUAGAAAUUGAUCGUUCGUUGCGGAUUAGGAGAAUUAGUUACUUUAGGGAUUACACCGUGAUAUUCAUAGAGAGUUCUUAUCGACAUGAGUAGUUGCGACCUGGAUGAUGAAUUAUUAUAUCAGCUACGUGUAGGCGUAUUGCACCUGG